rnacentral:hammerhead_ribozyme from 1 species
AUUCAGUUGACGAGGUCCAAAUAGGACGAAACGUACAUCCUGAAU